GGGGAUUUAGCUCAGCGGCAUAAGCGCCUGCCUUGCAAGCAGGCAGUUGUGAAUUCCAUCCCCG
rnacentral:tRNA from 1 species